rnacentral:rRNA from 1 species
AGAAAGCGGGGGAUCGCAAGACCUCGCGCGAUUGGAGUGGCCGAUAUCGGAUUAGCUAGUUGGUGAGGUAAAGGCUCACCAAGGCGACGAUCCGUAGCUGGUCUGAGAGGACGACCAGCCACACUGGAACUGAGACACGGUCCAGACUCCUACGGGAGGCAGCAGUGGGGAAUUUUGGACAAUGGGCGCAAGCCUGAUCCAGCCAUUCCGCGUGAGUGAAGAAGGCCUUCGGGUUGUAAGGCUCUUUCGGCAGGAACGAAACGGUCUUUUCUAAUACAAGAGGCUAAUGACGGUACCUGAAGAAGAAGCACCGGCUAACUACGUGCCAGCAGCCGCGGUAAUACGUAGGGUGCGAGCGUUAAUCGGAAUUACUGGGCGUAAAGCGUGCGCAGGCGGCUCUAUAAGACAGAUGUGAAAUCCCCGGGCUUAACCUGGGAACUGCGUUUGUGACUGUAGGGCUAGAGUGCGGCAGAGGGGGGUAGAAUUCCACGUGUAGCAGUGAAAUGCGUAGAG